UCAGCAACGAAAACAUUUAGCCUCUUGCAUCCAAGAAAUCACACACACCAAAGCAUAAUCAUUCUAUUUUCUGUAAUACUCCACACUUUUACUGUUUUUACAUGAAAGCAUGAUUCAUUGAAAAGAAAAGAGAAAAGAUUUCAUUUUGAAGCUUUGAAAUUUUUGUCUCCUGUCCUUGUGUGAUGAGUCGAGAGGGAGGUGAGUUUCAGCCCGGUGGCUGCUCGACGCCGGCGACGCCACGGCGGCAAAGGCACCGCCUUUUUCCUCUUCCUGCCAACGAGAGAGAGAGAGAGAGAGAAGAGGAAUUAGAUUUUCAGAUUCUGUAUUUUGAGAGGAAGAGAAGGGAGAUUUGGGGGUUUACCUGUGUGGGGCGGUGGCUGGUCGGAGCUGGUCUGAGCGGAGGGAGACAGGGGCGGCGUUGUCGUCGUCUGCCGGAGACAGAGAGGUGAGGCGUCGGAGUCGGCGGACGGUGGUGGUUAGCUCCCGCUGCUACGGCCGUCGGAUCUGUGAACAAGCGAGAGAUUUGAGAGAGAAACGAUGGAGGUGGAGGGCUCAGCGGCGGUCAGUGGCGGUCCUCGCUGCUGUCGACCUGAAUCGAGAGGGAGGAGGUGCCGCUGUGCUCGGCCACUGUCAGAGAGAGAGAGAGAGGGAAGUGAUGGGCGUCCGUUUUAGCGCGAGAGAAGGGAGAGCAGUUGAGGGAGAGGAGAGUCGGAGCGGCGCUCGUCGCCGGGAGUGGUGGCACGCGGCCGGAGGAAUUCUGAGAGAGGGAGAGAGGCGAGCAGCGUGAUAUGAGAAAAGGGGAGGAGGUGCGUGACUGAUAUGAGAAAGGGGGGAGGAGAUAUGGGCUUGAGUUGGGCUAGGGCUUAGUUUGAGGGUGGGCUUGCGAAUUGGGCCGAUUUUAAUUGAGAGAUGGGCCAAUGUUUAUUAAUUCCUUGGGCCCUAAAUUUAUAUCAAUUGGGUCAGUUUUAUUUUAAAC
rnacentral:lncRNA from 1 species